CUAAAAUUCCCUGAACCCCUUUCUUCCCGCGCCUUUCUCUUCCGUAUUAUUCUCAAAUUUCUCGGUUCUUCGCCGUUUUCUCUCUCAAGAAAAUGGUUUCACAGUUCGGCAUCAAAUUGGCCGUCCACCUCAUCACCAAGCACUUCGGCAAUCUUGUCGCUAAAGUAUGCGAAAAUCUAUUUAGUCAUGGAGCCCUCACUUUGGAUCAAUUGGUUCGCUACUCGGAGCUUACUAAGGACCAAGUUAAGAACUCCCUACUCGUCUUAGUUCAACACAAUUGUUGCCAAGCAUUUGUUUCUGCUCCUAAAGAUGACGGUAUCAUAGCACUAUUUUUUUGUUUAAUUCCUUUCUUGUAUUCUUUUUUUGCUUUUCUUUUUCUUUUUAAUUAUCGUUGUCUACUUGCAAUAAACAUGUUGGAGUAAAAUAAUUUUUAUAAAACGGACUUCCUAGAUGUAGUGGUAAUGUUUGCAACGAAUACUUCUCCAUUAGGGCGUGAUUGGCUAAUUAUAAUGUUCUGAAUUAUUAUGAAUGCAGAUGAUGAUGUAGACAGAUUGAGAGUUAGGACUCAGUAAUUGGUGUUGUUUGAUAACAUAAUCCACCGAUUGAGAUUUUCCAAAUUCUUGGAGACUGUGUCUCGGAAGCUUGAUGAAGAAUGUGUGGAACUUCUUGAUGGUUUGCUUCGUGAUGGUAGGCUUACCCUGAAACAAAUGGUUGACAGAGCAAGUCAAGGGAAAGGCAAGUGUUUUAUGAUGCACUUGAUAGGUCGAGUGCUGUUUUGCUUAUAUUUGUUGAUUUAAUUAUAACAAAAGGUAUUUUUUUAAACAAAUCCGCACAUGUUUUCUUUUAAAAUUUGUGUAACCUAACGACUGAAUCAUAUGUGGUUUAGUCAUAAUUCCUUUUUGUGAAUCAGAUGAGGGCACUGCAGAUAAUUUUUAAAACUAUGAAAACAAAAGGUAUGUUUGGAGUGGAUCAAGGUACAUGUACUAGCAUUGUGGUCUGAUUUGGGUUGGGUUAUAAGUGUGGUACAUUUUACACAACUUACUAAAUUUGUUGUACAUGAAGAGAAGGCUUAAUUGGGUUAAAGUUAGAGGUAAUGAUACACAAAGAACUAUACGUGUCUUUCUAAAUUAUGUUAAAGAGUGAUAUAUUAUUAGGCCUAUAAUUGAGCAGGAUAUUCAUUUUAAUCAAACACAUAAUUGAC